CAGUCGCCGCGGUAAUUCGUAGGGUGCGAGCGUUAAUCGGAAUUACUGGGCGUAAAGCGGGCGCAGACGGUUACUUAAGCAGGAUGUGAAAUCCCCGGGCUCAACCUGGGAAUUGCGUUCUGAACUGGGUGGCUAGAGUGUGUCAGAGGGGGGUAGAAUUCCACGUGUAGCAGUGAAAUGCGUAGAGAUGUGGAGGAAUACCGAUGGCGAAGGCAGCCCCCUGGGAUAGCACUGACGUUCAUGCCCGAAGGCGUGGGUAGCAAACAGGAUUAGAUACCCGAGUAGUCCCUGUCUCUUAUAC
rnacentral:rRNA from 1 species